GCGAACGUUAGCGGCGCGCCUAACACAUGCAAGUCGCACGAGAAAGGGGGCAACCCCCCGGUACAGUGGCGCACGGGUGAGUAACACGUGGAUUACCUUCCCUGGAGUGGUGGAUAACCUGCCGAAAGGUGGGCUAAUACAGCAUGAGACCACGCACUUUCGAGUGUGAGGUCAAAAGCGGGCUUCUGUUUACAUGCUCGCGCUCUAGGAUGGGUCCGCGGCCCAUCAGCUAGUUGGUAGGGUAACGGCCUACCAAGGCAACGACGGGUAGCUGGUCUGAGAGGAUGACCAGCCACACUGGAACUGAGACACGGUCCAGACUCCUACGGGAGGCAGCAGUGGGGAAUCUUGCGCAAUGGGCGAAAGCCUGACGCAGCGACGCCGCGUGGGGUGACGAAGGCCUCGGGUUGUAAGACCCUGUGGGGGGAGGACGGAACCGGGUCGUGGCGUAAUAUCCAUGGUCCUUGACGGUA
rnacentral:rRNA from 1 species